rnacentral:tRNA from 1 species
GGGCGCAUAACUCAGCUGGUUAGAGUGCUUGCUUUACACGCAAGAUGUCCGCGGUUCGAAUCCGUGUGCGCCCA